rnacentral:snRNA from 1 species
GUGCUCUUUUCAGCAGCAAAUAUAUUAGAAUUGGAACAAUACAGAGAAGAUUAACAUGGC